AUGGCAUCACAACUUUCAGAGGCUAAAAAAAGGGAGCGAGCCUUUACUGGUCGUGGACGCUGCAACAAAUUGCUAACCACGGUCGAUGCAAAGAACUUGCUUCAGUGUAUCUUCAGUGCUGCAGCAGAUGCAAGGUUCUACUUCUGUCAUGACUUCUUGAUGUGUUUUUAUUAUUGUGCGCUUCUUGCAGACUUCUUGAUGUGUAUCUAGACUUAAUGUGGCCUUGUCGCUUUGUAAAGAGGUAUGCAACUGUAGAGUGGUAGUGUACAUAUCGUAUUGUUUCCCUUUUCACAAAUUGUAAUCAAAGAUGGGAAAAGACGAUGUUUCUUGUCAUGAUAUGAUUGAAAAAUAUUUUCGGAAUAUGUCAUAUUCUACGUCUUUUUGGGUGUGUCUGUGAACUAUAUACUUUGGGGUAGAUUGAUUUCGUCACUUUUACUGGUUAAAAUGAAAAGAUAAUUGGUAGUGAUAUUAACAUUUUAAUUUUUUUUUAGGACAGUUAGUUAUAAUAAUGGAGCUAUGACUAACUCGACCAAGAACGUUAAUAUCUGUGCUGUUAUGGGUGCUACAUGGCUGGAGUGGGAAUUUCAGAAAAGGAUUUGGUUGUCAAUUUCGUUCAGCAGAUUGAAAACGAUGUGUAUUGAUGAAUUCAAAAAUGACGCUACGGAGGUUGAAAGAAGUACCUGACAAGCAUGAAGACAAGGGCUUGUUGCUAGCAUUGGCAUAACUAAAAGUUUCGUGAACAACAAGUUCAGCGAGUGCAUCGUGGAUUCGUGGCAACCUAAUUAAUAAAAUUUGACGAUUUUGCUCAUCCCACUGAAAAAACGUUGCUUGCACUGUUUGUGUAUCUUAGGACAGAAAAGGGCAUUAUAAUGGUACAUCUGGUAUUACUGUAUGGUUUGGUAUGAAGUUUAAUUUUGUUGUGGAUGUCAACUUUGGAGUUCUGUAAGCAUCAUAUAUUAAUCCAGUUGGGCAAUAAUCGGGUUCUGGCAGAGUCAAAGAAAAGCUCUUCUGCAAGAGGAGACGAUCCCGUGAUACUAUUUGUUCUUAUUAAUAGUUUAAAUUUGUCUUCUUAGUUCUAUAUUUAUCAAUGAUUUACAAACUUCCAUUCAACAACCAAAUAAUUUGGAAUUAUAUCACUAUGGUAUUCAUAGCUUGGGGACAGGGGUAGAGUGGAGAAAAUGAUUUAUUGUUUUUUUUUUUUUUUUUCGAUAAAGGAUAAAAUUAUAUUAAAACCAGAUCAAACUUUUACAGUUACUGAUUCUCAUGCUUGUUAGCACUCAACAUCAGCAGUACCCCUGAGGACAUGCCCCCUUUUUACAAAUCAGACCCCCAUCCCUCCCCACCACAGUACAAAGCAAAAGCUUUUGCAUACUCUGUUGCACUUUGCACUGCAGAUUCCUUAGUUUCAACCAUGGUUCCUGAUGACCCUACCAUUGUUCAGCCAUAAUGGUCUCCCAAUCCAGUAGAAGGUCUUUGAAGUGUAUAUCUCGGCGCAGCUCCAAACUCUUCUCCCUUCCGUUGAGCCAUAACCAGACAGUCCAUUUGAUGUGCCCAAGCAGUUUGUUCCUCUGGACCUUGCCCUCAUUGAAUAUUGCAUCGCUUCUAUGCUUCCAAACACACCAAAUUACGGCAUAGGGUAGUAUUUCCCAUACUGCGUGUGCCAUUCUACAAGCAAGUCCUUAACAGUCUGCCAGGUCCCAAACGUACUAGCAGCUUCAGCACUGACUGUCAUCAAUGCAUCCCACAAACCUCUAGUAAACCUGCAAGUCAUGAAUAGGUGCAAACUGGAUUCUGCCUCAUUCUUGCACAGUAUACAUCUAUUAGGAAGAAUCAUCCCUCUAGAUUGUAGUUUAUCCAUAGUUAAGGUACGAUCCCACAUCAGACUCCAAAUGAAAAGUUUUACAUUUGUAGGAAUAGGAGGAUCCCAAGUGGAUUUAAAUGGGAAGUUACUAACCUGGUUAGUCGAAGAAGCUUGGUUACUCAUUAAACAAUUGUAGCUAGACUUCACAGUGAACAUUUUGCUUGUUUUCCAAAUCCAUUCCCAUUCAUCUUCCCCUUCCUCAAAAGUGAAGGCUUGCAACAAGGUCAUGAGAUUAUCAUAUUGAGCUUGCUCCCUAUCUCUUAGCCGAGACCUCCUCAAAUUAAGAUUCCAAAUCUCAUUUUCAUAGUGUUGUAUAACGGUUGCCUCCUUCAUAGCCGUAUGUUUGAAGAUGUUUGGGAACCUCUUAGCUAGAGGUACCUCGCAUAACCACACAUCAAGCCAAAAUCGAGUCUUAUCCCCUUUUCUAACACCAUGGCGAAUGCCCUUGAAGAAUUCUUCUUGCACUCCAAGGAUACCUUUCCAUAGACUACACCGAUGAGAUUGUUUGACAAGCUUCGGUCGCCCAUUGAUAUCACAUUUCCAUACUUGGCAUCUAUUACUCUUCUCCAAAGUGCAUUUUUUCAUGACCAUAUCUCCAAAUCCACUUCGAUAGCAAAGCUUGAUUCAUAGUCUUGAGUCUUCGAAGACCCAAGCCCCCAUUUUUCAUUGGAGUACAAACGGUUUCCCAUGAUAAGAGAUGUAUCUUUCUAUUCUUGUCGCAUGAUCCCCAAAGAAAAUCUCUAACAAUCUUUUCAAGAACAUACACAAUACUUGUCGGGAUAGUAAGCAAUGAUAAGUGAUAAAUUGCUAGAUUCGCUAGCGUGCUCUUGAUAAAGAUGAUUCUCUCACCUUUUGAUAGAAAUUUCCUCUUCCACCCACUAAGCUUCUUUUGGAAAGCUUCUAUCACGGGGGUCCAUACCUCCACAUUUUUAUACUUGGUUCCAAGAGGGAAUCCAAGAUACUUAAAUGGGAGCUUUCCAACAUCACAACCAAAGAAGGUAGCUAGAGCAUGAAUAUUAUAACUUCUCCCACUUCCGCAAUAGAUGACUUUGCAAGAUUAAUUCUCAAACCGGAAAUCCCUUCAAAAAUGAACAACACCCCUUUGAUGAUGGAUAGUGCUUGAAGGGUUGGCUCGGUUAGAAAGAUGGUAUCAUCGGCAAAUUGGAGUAUCCCAACUUGGACCUCUCCAUUGCCAACAUGGAAUCCUUUCAACAAUCCCAUAUCCAUACACUUAGUAGUAAGUCUUGCUAGCGCUUCCAUUACCAAGAUGAAGAGAGCCGGUGAAAGAGGGUCCCCUUGUCUCAAGCCUCGGUGAGACUUGAAGUUUCCUUCCGGUGAUCCAUCAAUCAUGAUAGAAAAUCUAGGCGUUGAAAUACAAGUAUAUAUCCAUUUUCUUCAUUUCAAGCCAAAUCCCAUCCUCCCUAGUAGAUAAUCUAAGAAGCUCCAAUUUACGUGAUCAUAGGCCUUAGCAAUGUCUACCUUACAAACAAUCCCGGGCUCUUUUUCUCUUUGCCUAGAGUCAAUACACUCAUUCGCAAUAAGGACACUAUCGAGUAUUUGGCGAUCCUCUAGAAAAGCUCCUUGUGUUCCGGACACUACAUGAUGGAGGAGUUUCUUGAUUCUCAACGCUAACACCUUCGAUAUGAUCUUGUAAACACCUCCAAUAAGACUUAUCGGUUGGUAAUCAUUUAGUGAGAGCACUCCUUCCUUCUUGGGGAUCAAAGUGAUAAAGGUGGUGUUGAGUCGCCAAUCGAUGAAACCGGAUCUAUGGAACUCCUUCACAAUAGCCAUAAUAUCCUCCUUGAAAAUAUACCAAAAACGUUUAUAGAAUGUCAUAGGGAAGCCAUCCGGGCCAGGUGCUUUCUCCCCAUCCAUCUCUUUGAGCGCACUAACCACUUCCACCUCUUCAAACUCUUUCUCAAGAUCAUCCCUUUGAGAGGUCUCAAUAGAAUCAAAGAACAUUCCAUCAAGCUUCGGUCGAUCCUUGACCUCCUCCUUGAAAAGAUCCCCAUAGUAGCCAAUUAUGUGGUAUUUUAUGACAUUUCCAUCCCUAGAGAUUCUUUCAUCAAUUACUAGGCUAGAGAGAUUUUUCGAUUUCCUCCUCAUAUUUGCCAUAGCAUGGAAAUAUUUUGUAUUAGGUUGACCAUCUUGAAAAUGCUUAGAGCAAGCCUUUUGUUUCCAACUAAUCACAUCCUUCCGGAGUAGAAAGUAUAGAUCGUCUCUAAGGAUACUUCUCUCCAUCAUCUCGUCAAUAGAAAGUUCCUCCAUCUCCUCCUUAGAGUCAAGCUCUUCAAUUCUCUUGUUCCGCUCAUCAAUUUGCCUAUCAACUCUCCCAAACACCUCCCGAUUCCAUGUUUUUAGCUUCUUCUUAAGUUCCCUUAGUUUUUUCCACCACACAUAACUCUGCGUACCUUCAAAAUUGAAAUUUCCCCACCAUUCUCGAAUGAGAUCUCCUAGGGUGUUAUCUUCAAGCCACAUGAGCUCAAAAGGGAAAGGUCGUGGCUUCUUGGUGGGCGGACUUGUGGCAAAAAGAAUAGCUCGAUGGUCGGACGUACACUUUGGUAAUGCAAUUUGUUUAGUAUCACCAAAAAGUAACUCCCACUCCGUCGAUGUAAUAAAGCGAUCCAACUUGGUCAUAACCGGGUCAACUUGGUUAUUUGACCAAGUAAAAUUUGCCCCUUCGAGAUGAUGUUCCACCAAUGCAUACUUAUUCUCAAAAUCCGCAAAUUGUCUCAUCCAUCUAGUAAGCGGGGCUUCCCCUCUCUUCUCAUGAGUGAAACGGAUAACAUUGAAGUCCCCACCAAUGCACCAUGGGAGGUUAUUCCAUCCGCGAACCUCCUCAAGUUCUUCCCAAAAAGAAAACAAAUCUCUUCUAUCACUUGGCCCAUAAACCCCGGUUAUUAGACAUUCACUAUCCAUUCCAAUAGCUUUUGCAUGUAAACUGAUGGAAUAGACUUUCAAAAGAUGGUCUUUCACUUCCAUAGUGUUUGUAUUCCAUGCGACUACCAUACCUCCCGAUAAGCCUAUCGAAGGUACACAUACCCAAUUCCAAUGCCCCGGCCACAUGCUAACCCUUUCAAUUAUCGCUAUAUCUUGUGUCUUUGUCUCUUGAAUCAUAAUAACAUCCACAUUUGUGAAUCUCAAAAGUGUUUUAACGCUUCCUUGGGCAGCCUCAUUGCAAAGCCCCCUUGCAUUCCAUGUUACAAGCUUACACAUGGACAACAUCGACGCCCUGAAGUGCUUCAUUACACCUUGCAUAAUUCCCAAUCUCCACUUCAUCUUCACUGAUCCGCCAUUUUGCAUCUUGGUUCAGCUUACAUUGCCCCAAAGCCCUGAAAAAUCGUUCAAUAGCUUCUGACCCCUUAACUGAAGAUAACCCAAGAUCUUUUGAUAAAGACCUUAUAGUGCCCGUGACCAAAUUAUCGACAUCCAUUUGACUGCGCAGUGGAGCACACUCCUUGUUCAAUAACUUCCCGAAAUUUACCCCCUCCUCAUUCAUCUGAUUCUCAAAUCCAGGCGGAGCCGAGGGAGUCUUGCUUGGUGUAGCUACAGAUUCUUCAAUAAGAGUUUCUUUAGAGUUGGAGCUAAAAGUUAUUGUAGUUGCUCUCUUUUUAGAACUUUCGCCCCUGUAAAACUUCCCAUCUGAUCGUAAACUUGAAGCAGAAUCAGUACUACCAUAAUUCAGAAUUACCUGACGGUGAACUUCUUCAUCAAUGUCCUGCAAGUUUAAUUGUUUGAUCUCUGCCAAUACUAUGCCAAUACGGAACAUGUUUAAUGGACUUGUUGUGAACGUGGAUAUUAAUUUUAGUUGGUUAUGUAUAUUAAUGAUUGUAAUGGCUAUUAGAACUAUAUUUAUUAGAGGGGUAUUUUUGAAAUGGAAGAAUUUGUUAGUAAAUACCUUGGAAUGGCUUGAUACCAUGGACGGUAUAUAUACAAUUUGGAAAAAUAAGAAAGGAAUAUGAAAUGGACUGGGAAUUUAAUUGUUUGAAAAUGGUUGUGUGAUUGGUUGAUUAGUUUAGUUGUUUUGGUAGUCGCCCAAGCAUUAGUACAUUUGCCGCACCUCUAGAAUUAGGUUAAAGAAAUUAAUUAUCACCCUAGACGGCUUAGCCUGCGGGUUGACUCUUGGAUUAUAUUUGGGUAUUUCCUAGACGGCUUAGCCUGCGGAACUGACCCUUCAGACCUUCAUAGCCUUCGGGGUUGGUCUGGGCGCCACAUUAGAAAGCUCAAGGGAGCUAUUAGAGAUCAUGAGUUAGGCAUACGUCGAGGCUAGCCAAAGCUUGCAGGUGAGCACCCACUUGGGUUUUGGUUUCCGCGUAGAGGUUCUUAACCAUGUUCAAGGCACACUGGUGCAGUGUGGGUAUGGCAAAUGUGUGGAGUGCAUCCUGUGGGGGGUGUACUAGUGAUUGGGCAUAGGUUGUGAUUUUAUGAUUAUUAAACCCGAGCACCGGCUAGAGGCCAGGACGAGGUUUUGUGAUUUUGGAUUCGUUGUUUGGUAGUGUGCUAAAACUUAUGGUAUUGUAGUGCUUGGUGUUAAUUAAUGAUAUGGGUAAAUUUUAUAUACUUAGAUUAUAAACUAUGAAUAGUUGGAAUGAAUCAUUAUUAAUGGUUUGAAUGAACGAAAUAUAUUUUUAGGUUGAUACAAAGUAUUAGAUAACACGUAACGUGUAUGUGAUUUGGUUUAUCUUUAUUAUAUUUGUGUAUUAUAUAUUAACUCCAUUUUGCAGGUGGAUAGGUCAACUAAUUUAUUUUGUGCAGGUAGAUAGACCUAUCCUUAAAGACAGUUGCUGCUUAGGUAAUGUAUUUGUAUUAUCGAUCAAUUAACAUCAUAAAUAGAUAAAUUAGAAUUGAAUAAUGAAGUUAAGCAUGUGAUUAUAUAAUGGAUAAAUUGUUUAAAUAUAAUGGAAUUGAUAUGGAUUUUGACGUAUGUUUAUUGUCUUAGCAUGGAAGAAUUGUUCUUGAAGGUUAAUUAUGUUGUUAAUCAUAUGUUGGAACUUUAUAUUUAUUAUGUUGUUUUGUGGGAAAUAGAUUUCCCCGUUGUUUACUCAUACCGGCUUUUAUGCUGACCCAUGUUGCUUUGUUUUGCACGUGGGUGUGUUCCAUUUGGAAUGCAGGCAGGAGAGGUUAGAGCUAUGGAGUUGUGACAGAUCGCUUGUUGGGACCAGUAGAGAUCUUUAGAUGUUUCAGUUAUGUAUUUUUUGAAAGUGGUAUUCAUGUAUUUUGUUGGUGUAAGUUGUGUUGUAUAAUAGGAUGGAAUUAGGAGUACUUUUAUCGUUUGGAUUUUUCUUCACUGUAUUUUAUUUAAGAUUUUUGUUGGACCUGGUUUUUGAGUUAGAAAUUGUUGCGGCCUGGGUUUAUUUUAUAUUUUUUUUUUUUUUUUUUUUUAAAUUCGCGUCGUGACAUUUCUUGGUAUCAGAGCGCUAGGUUCACUUAGACCGGUGCGGUCUAGGUUGUCCUCGGAAUGUGGAUUUGGGCAUUCGUAUGUUUUAUGUACUUGAGAUUUCUAUUUGAUUUUGAUUUUGACGUGUACUUUGUUUGUCAUGUUUGAGAAAUGUUUUAUGUUUCAGACUACGAUUGUUUGUUUCUUUAAAAGCUAUGAUUGAUGAUGUGAUUCGAUUUUGUUAUAUAAUUAGGUAGAUUCUUUUGAGGUGUGUAUACUUCGUAUACACCAUUGACUUGUUCUGUGUAUUUUGAAGUAUGGUUAAUGUGUUUGUUGAAGUGUAACAUUGAAGUAUCUUAUGGAUAAUCUUAGUUUACAGAUUAAAUUUUGUUUGAGUUCAUAGAUAAUCAUUUUGUUGAUUAUUUAGAAGAAUCUUACUCGUACUAUGUGUAACUCUUAGAUGCCACUGAGAAGGGUUAAUUUUUGUUUGAUUUAUUUGAUAUAUGUUCCCCUAAUGUAAAUCUUAAUGGUAUGCAACAGAUAACAGACUUUUGGUACUAGAGUUCAAGUGAUUUUAGAAAUCUAGAUGAAAACAUUUGGAUAUUAAAUCCUCUAAGAAGCCAUUCUUUUUGUCCUUGAAUUCUUUUGAUAAUAUUAAAUUUUGGCAGUGGGUAGAUAUGAUUUACACGUCUUAAUAUAACCAAUUGAUGAUAUGACAGAUAUUUGAUCCUUUCAUGACAUGUAAAAUAAAGUUAUGUUAUAUAUUGUUAGUUGAGAUUCCGUUUCUAUUUCUUUUCUAUAGAGUUAUUCUUGAUAUGUAGUAGAGUUUGUUGUUGUGAUGCAGAUAUAACUUGUCUUUUGAGAUCAUAUGCAAUUAUUAUAGAUAUAUUAUUGUAGUAGGUAAAGUGAGUCGUUGGAAUGUUCCUAAUUAAUAUGAUAUAAUGCUUACCUGAUGAAAAAUCACUAUAGUCGUUUGCAUGCUACUUUUAAGGUGAAAUUAUUUUGUACAUAUAAGUGUUUAUGAGACUUUUGAAUUAAUAUAGAAAUUGAGUUAAAAGUAAAUUUUACCAUUAUCAUAAAUUCUUAAAAAAAAAAAAAAAAAAAAUUAUUUUGUACACCUAUGUUACGGUUUUCUCUAAACUGCUACAUAUAAGCUCAACCCAUUGUAAAAUAUAUUUUUCUUUGUUGUUCUUUUUUGCAACUAUUAUGAUAGUUCUCUCUAUAUGUUCUCUUACUUGUGACAGAGUUUCAGCUUAAAUAGAUUAAUAGUUCUAAGAUAAUAAAUAGUUUAAGGUAAUGCACCAUGAGUAACGAUUGAUGUGGUAUACAAUGCUUUGAGCGAUCAUAGGUAUAUAUUAUUAUUGAAUAAAAUUUUUAUAGUAACUUCUUUAUAUGUUUUGUUUUAGUUGUGUUAAAAUGUCAUGUAUUUCUUGCCGCUAUUUUUAAAUUUAGAAUUUUCUACGUGCGUAACAGUUUUAUUACAAGAUAAAUAAUCUAUGAUUACAUUAGCAAAUAUGUAUUAAUGGCUCUAGCAUUGUUGAAUAUUGUGGAAGACUUGUUUACUUGAAUUACNNNNNNNNNNNNNNNNNNNNNNNNNNNNNNNNNNNNNNNNNNNNNNNNNNNNNNNNNNNNNNNNNNNNNNNNNNNNNNNNNNNNNNNNNNNNNNNNNNNNNNNNNNNNNNNNNNNNNNNNNNNNNNNNNNNNNNNNNNNNNNNNNNNNNNNNNNNNNNNNNNNNNNNNNNNNNNNNNNNNNNNNNNNNNNNNNNNNNNNNNNNNNNNNNNNAUCGAGUUUUGAUUGUGAGGUAAUUAAAUUUUGAAUGAGUAGCAACUGUGACCUAGUAAAUUCAUGUAUGACAUCAUGAGGUAUAUGAAACAAAAUAUAUAUAUUUGAUUUGCUUUCUUUGUUUCUUUUUACUUAUAGAUCAUUUGUUAUCUUAAUGUCAAAAUUUUAUUAAUUGAUCAAAAGAGAUAUAUGUUUAACAUCUUGAGGACAUAUGUAUAUGCAUAUAAUGUAAGCUUGGAUUUAUUAAAAAUGUGGAUUUUUUUUCUAUUCUUUACUAUAUAAAGUUGUUUACAUGGUCUACUUGUUAGGAGUAUAUAUUCAAUUGGUUUGAUAAGAACUCUAUAUUUUAAAGUGUUUAGAAGUUACAUCCGUUACAGUACUGUACACACUAUUUGUUGCAAUCGUCGGUUCGACUUCUUUUAUGCCGUUAUGCAUGUGUAGUACCCAGACAUUCUUGUUCUUAAGAAAAUUAUUUUUAAAAAUGUUUAUUUCUAAAAUUUUGGAAGUUAAAACACACACUAACGGAUUUGUCUUGGGAUACUGAUUUUCAUUUAUUUAUGGUUGAGCAGUAGAGGUUAUAUUUGUUAUAGAAAUAUGAAACCAUGUAAAUAUUGAACAUAUCGUUUUGAAAUGGAUACGUUUGUUCUUUGAGGUUUGUAUACAAACACCGAAUACUCUGUGCUUGUGAGUUACUAGGUUGGCCUUUUGAGGUGUGUAUACUGCGUAUACACAUAUAGAUCUUAUUGUUAUGAUUUUAUUCGUUCUCAUUUCUCUUUGUUUCGUGAUGUGGUUAGGAUCACAUCUAUAUGCUUCUGUGAAUUGUUUUGGGACUGAUCAACCCAAUACAAGUUUAUGGGAGGUUAUGGGUGAUGAUUGAGCCUUGGUUAUAAUCCUAUAGUGAUUGUAUUCGUUGGUUCAAUGUGAGCUUAAGGAAUUUUUAUAUUGAGAAGUAUGUUUAUCAUAAUGAUAUACUAUAUAUCUAAUUGUUUACAACUUGUUGUUGAUUAUAGUAGUUUGAUGAAUCUCGAGGCCGAGCUUCCUUUGAGGUGUGCAUAAAUGUAAAACACCAUUUUUAAUGCUUAUUUAAAUUUAAUUUGAAGUUAUAAAAUAAUUAAGUAUAAGUCCUUGGGUCAAGGGUUUAUUAAUAAUUAGUAUAAAUUGGAGGGACUAUGGUUUAAUAAAGAAAACAACCUUCGGAAUCACGAUCACAAUGGGAUCACAAUCUCAAAUCGAUCAGGUUCGUUGGAUGAACCAUCUUAGGUUAGAUUAUUAGUUAUAUAUCUGAUUAGAAGGUUUUUGCAAAGAGAGAGAGAGAGAGAGAGAGAGAGAGAGAGAGAGAGAGAGAGAGAGAGAGAGAGAGGGCGGCGCUGCGGUCAGAGUUGCUAAAAGUUGGAGUUGCAGUUGCGGGAAACCGGAGUUGCAGAGUUUAGAAGUAGGGAGAAGAACAAGAAACAAUGACUGUGGGGUGGUGUCGGUGUUUUCUGCGAGUUGCAGACCAGUAGAAGAAGAAGAGCAGCAGUAACGGUGAGUGGAUUUAUUUUGUUAAAUUACUUUAAGUUGAUUAAACUAUAUGAUUAUGAUAUUAGUGGUGGGGUAUAUGAGAGUAUGUUUGCUGUUGGUUUGGACUUCUAUACAUAUUACAUCUUUACAUGAUGAUGGUGAAUUGUAUAUAAAAUAAUUUUGUUUUUCUAUCUAUAUUGGUGGUCAAAUUCAUUCCCUAUAUCUAUCAUGUUAAUCAGAUUAAUGUAGCUGAGCUUUAUAAGUUGAAAUUCCUGAAACAUGGAUUAUAUUUGAUUACCGAUUGCGAGGUGUUGCCGAGUCAUUAAUGGAAUAGUAUAUAUGUAUAUUUUUAUUUUUUGUUUUUGUUGAUAUCCAUACACUGUUAUAUAAGUACUAUAGUAAGGAUUGGACUUCUAUGUUGUGAUGAAUUUUUAGUACAGUAUACACCAUUUUGCCAUGAUAUGGGUUUCGAAAAUUUGAUAUUUUCCUAUAACAGUAUAGUUAACUUUGCCGACUUGCCGACCUUUCUUUUCUUACUGUAUGGGGUAUAUAUAUAUCAGGACACAUAGGAAAUUAUUGAUUUCGUGUCCUAAUUUUGAUAUGAACUUGACAAUAUUGACAUUAGCGAGUAGUAUGGUGCUCGACGGACUGGGAUGAGCGAGGACGAAAUCCCGGGGCGUUGAGCACCAUACUGCUCGCUAAUGUCAAUAUUGUCCCCCUUUAGUCACUGCGGAUAUCCAGCAGUAGAGGGUUUUGGAUCAGGGCCCACCCAUGUGGCUUACCCCAAAAGGCCUUGACAUUAGUUAGAGUAUGGUUAAGCUCUAUAUACUACCAGUACAACCACUUCCUUGACAAUGUGGGACUAACACCAACUCAUGGGUGUUACAAUCUCACCACCUUAGAAAUAGAGCCGUCCUCGGCUCUGCAGUACACUCUCCGACGUUCCCUGCCAAGUGAGACAAGUACCUGGCGCUCCCUAGGCCUUUCCAGCGUACUUCCCACCUGCAACAGGCGACCCAUCGUCAGCUCUGAUACCAACUGUAACGCCCCGGGAUUUCGUCCUCGCUCAUCCCGGGGCGUUGAGCACCAUACUGCUCGCUAAUGUCAAUAUUGUCCCCCUUUAGUCACUGCGGAUAUCCAGCAGUAGAGGGUUUUGGAUCAGGGCCCACCCAUGUGGCUUACCCCAAAAGGCCUUGACAUUAGUUAGAGUAUGGUUAAGCUCUAUAUACUACCAGUACAACCACUUCCUUGACAAUGUGGGACUAACACCAACUCAUGGGUGUUACAUUGUGGCCAACUGAUUUUUGUUUACUAUUCUUCUUUGGUGUCUUGGUCCAGAUCUGCUUUGAUAGCACAAGGCUUGGGCACCCAUCUAUAGUUUUUCGAGCCCAUAGCCCAGUUCUAUUAGACUUCCAUUUCUCAGAAUUAGCCUUUUGGGCUUUGGGUUCCUGACUUUUGACCGAUUGGGCUUGGAUCUCUUCUAUCUUAUCAGAAAUUGGAUCAAAGGGGUUCUUUUUACAAUGUCAACCCAGGACUGACCCUCUUAACAUCUAAUUGGGCUCUUACCUUUAAUAACUGGAAUCCAGUAAGGAUCCAAUUGAUGUGCAAUUAAAUUCUCUUUUCCAACAGUCUUUGACAUCGCAACAGCUGGCGGUUCCUCCUUCUUAACCGGUGAUCCCUGGAGCAUGGGAACAUCUCUGUCUCCUCCUCCUUCUUCCCUAUCGAAAUUUCUUACUGACGGCGAAAUUUCGGCUUUCUCAGACAAGUCUUUUUGUUCCCACUGAGAUCUUCUCUCCACCGAUUCCAGUUUAACCAUAAUGGUAUAUUUGAAUCCCUACUCCUCUAGAAAAAUAAUUCUAGGUAUUUUCUCCAUUAAUGCCUUCUUCAAUUUAACCCUCACGUCGCUCCCGUCUCUGGAAUUGGUCAAGCGAGCAUCAAUUUCAUAGCUGUCACAAAAAGUUCCCACCAACUUUGCUGUUAUCCCUUCCGAUCGAAGAUGAAUGAGUAUUCCUUGUAAGAUAAUCCAUUGUGAUUCUACGUUAUUUACAGCUUCCGGCAAUGAUUGAAACUCCGGAGACCAUCUCCUAAAUUCAACCAUUAACCUUCCCUCCUUCAUUGGACUAAUGUCACCACCUUUCGCGCCAGUUCCACCAAUGGGAGAGUAAUUACUGCUUCUCCAGUAUGCAGCACCACCAGUGAUACUUCCCCCACCUUUUUUUCAAGACUGUUCUUUACCCACUCCCAAUCUAUCAACUUCGAAUUGGGUUUCCCGAUCACUGUCGCAGCCCACCAAGAAUAGUUUCUGAUUGAAUUACCCUCUACCACCACCCUUUUUGAACUAAAGUCCUCCUUCGAUGUUAACACAUCUGUGAUUUUUCCAAGAUCUGACCUUUCUAUUGGUUGAGUUCGUUGUGUGUCAUUCAUCUUUAUCUCUGUCUCCUUCCUCCAAUCUCUUCCUUCCAACACCCCUGGCAUGAAUAGAUCUAACAAUCCCAAACCUAAUUGGGCCCAACCAUCUUUGUGUCUACCAACCGGAAUUCUCAAUGAACGAUUUACAACUUUCUUUCCCCAUACGUUUGAAGAAGUUGAUCUCCAAGUAGCUCCCUCUAUCAUUAUCUCUGCUAAUCACGGUUAUGAUUUCUCUAACAUUCUUGAACUCCCGAUAACCCAAUGGAAACUCACUAAUUUCACACAAGAGUUUGCCCAGCCACCACCUCCCUCUUCUGUGGUAAUAGCUGAAAAAACCCCUUUCCUCCCUCGUUCCACAAUUUUUAUUCUCUCUUGUAAAUCCCCUCCUGAAAAUCUCUCCAUUUCGAAAAGCUUCAGCUCCACCUUCACUGAAGAUCUUCGUCGUUUAUUCAAAUUACCAUCCCUCAUAACCCUUUUCUGCAUCUCACCACUUCUAAAAGGAUUUGUGUUGCGUCUAGCCAUGGAAAGAUCUUACCUUUCCCCCUGCAAGUAUCUAAUGAACAGAUCCAAGAUGAAAACAUGGAACUGUAGUGAGGAUUGUCCGGGAUUCCCUCUCCCUCGGUCCUCCUCCACCACAGCCUGAACCCACCGAUCUCAAACUGGAUCUCUAAACCCCUGUUCCUCGAGAAUAGCAGUUCCCACACUCACUAACUCACUUACGAAGGCGUAAACACCUGGAAAAAAAACACUCAUCGGAAAAGUUUACUCAUCGGAAAGUUUAUUUAGCACUUUUUAAUAAUAUAGAAUUAUACCAAAUGUAGUGAACUCGCGAAUAUUUUAAUCUCUCUAUUGUUAUUGCUCUCGAACGAUCGACUGGAAAACUUGUCUGGUCAACUCGGCUGGAUGAUCACAACUCUUUGUUGCACUCGUUCUGUAAACUCGAUGCUGAAUCUUCUAGGGAAUCAAGGCACACCCUGGAGCUGGCAGCUAGAGUGAGUGUGAUGGCCAUCAGCCUGGCCGGGAAAAUAAUUUUGGAACCUCAGUGGUAUGUUCCAAUGUGACAAACAAUGAGUCCAGUGGUCUGUUAUCAAUGUCCAAAAGUCGAAAUCCUGUUCAAUUCAAGGGUUAUUAGUCAUCUUAAACGUUCAUGUCCAGUCUUGUUCCAAUGUGGCCACCAUCCUUUCAGGGGAAAAAAAAAUGUUUGUUGGACAUGAACAGUUAUUAUAAUUUGUUUCCCGUUAUUAGUCAUCUUAAACGUUCAUGUCCAGUUUUGUUCAACUCAAGGUUUAGACAAAUAACUUUUAUUUCUAUUAUUCAUUCAUUUGCCAAAAUUUCCAUGAAGAUUAUUUUCAUGUUUGUUUUGAUUUCCGAAGAAUGAAGAACAAUGCGUACAAGUUGGGGGUUAUUUUUGUUAAAAAAAGCAAAAUACAACUCACCCAAAAUUUAUUUUUGUUUCGGUGGACGACUUUUCAGAGGGGAUUCGAGGGCCGGAUGGGGGGCGACCAUUUCAAUGAUCCCCCCAGCGAUCCCAUUUGCUGCCCUCAAGCGCACUAGCCUUGGCUAGAGGCGGUCAUCAGGCUUCAAGGAGGCAGGUCGCUUGCUGGGGGACAUCUCCACCUCUAGAAGGUCCGGCCGUUGCAAGUUGACUCGGACAACCGCAAGCGGAUGUUCGUUUCAAUGGGCAAUGGACAGACUCAUUGUAGAGGGGGUGGGGCAGCCAUACUGACCCCCAACAAUCCCCUUUUUGCCGCUUUUCGGCAUGUAGGAGACUGGCCGCGACUGGGGGCGUGGAAGCACGCACUAGGCGGUUCCCAUCCGAUCGGGCAACUUUUCUUGUCAAACCUGAUAACUACUGUAAUAUAGAUACCCACAAAGUAUAGUAAGAGAGGCAGAGAAAUGAUGUUCUUCCAUUGAAGAGCUUAACCUAAACACCUAAGACACAUUUCUUUAUAUACAUUACACAACCUAAAACUAUUACAACUAUACCCUUAUAUAUCAUAUAGUCUAACACCCCUUCUCAAACUCAUGAAUCAUGAUGGUAAUAUGGUAUAGUGAGUUUGCCAAGCAAAACGAAGGAGCAAUCCCAUCACCAAAAUUCAUGCUGAAACACCAACCCGAUGUCACCCCCUCUCAAACUCAAAAUAUUCCCAUUGAGAGUUUGUCCAGAAAAGAACCGAAACACCAAAUAGAAAACCAAUACUACCAUUGUAUAUACCAUUAUAUUCAAGCUCCCCAACCACACCAUCUUAUACUUUUAUCGACCUAACUCAACGUGAGCCUAUUUUUACGCGAGCUCACUCGACGCUCAUCAUCUUCAAAUGUUAUCCUACCUAAACUCUUUUCAAUAUCGACCUAACUCGACGUGAGCCUAUUUUUACUCGAGCUCACUCGACGCGAACACUUUCUCACUCGACCUUCAUCGAACUUAUUCAAACCACAUACGUUUUGAUUCUCUUCAGUUACAAUAUCUUCUUAGAUCCAAAAUAUCCGCUCAUUAAUUGACCCCACCGUUGUACAAUUAAUGAGCUAUCCGUUGUCCCAAUCACCUAUAAAUAUGAACUACGUAGGCUUGAUUCUGGGACUUGGUCAACCUCAGAUACGUAGGCAACUAUCUCUCUAGAUAGCUCAGCCACUUCAACACCAUAAACUCCUUCCUCUCCACUCUCUGAUCAUCUUCUCCGACUUACUUUUUAUUAACAUUUAUAACUAUCACCACCGACAAACAACAAUACUACUUCGGUACCAAUACCAAUACCAAUACCAAUACCAAUACAAAUGUCACACUAGUACCAGCUCCAAAGAGGGGAGAAGCAAAUGUCGUACUCGAAUUAUCGACACAACAAACAAUCCAAUUCAAACUUCAUACAUCAAAUUCCAACUAUUGCGAUACAAAACCAUACCAAACACAGUGCGACAAUUCAUCAAACACAAUCUUAACACUAGGAGCACCAACUUCGAAUACUACAAUGUCAUUCAGAAAUUUUAUCAAACACUUGGAAUGCAACCCUGCACAACCCAACUUCAACAUGCUUUCCGAUCGAUGCUAAACCAACCAAAACAGCAGAAACACGAGAAAAAAUAAAAAACAACAAAGACCACCAGAUUCACAAAUUAUCUGACAACCAACAAGAAAACACAUUUCUAGCGGAAGCCAAAAUGAUUGCAAAUCAACCAAACCCCAAAUCCAAACCACCAAAUGAAAUCACAAAUUAAACCAAGAUUGAUUGUUAGAGAAAAAAAAAAUAAAAAAAAUUGCGAAAUCGAAAACACCUCAAACAAACUCAAAACUCAAAAUACGACCCAAGAUCAUCGAGGCUUUGAUACUAUAUCUCCAAAAUCUCAAUCCGUUCUUCUCCUCCAUCUCAUAAACCAUCGUGAAAAUCUCUAUCCAAACCCAAAUCAAUCUCCUUCUUCUUUAUUGACUUCAAUCAAUCCCUACCUAACUAUCUUCAACCGAUCCAAAUCCAGCGUAUAAAGUACAAUCUCAAUUGAUUGAAGAAAUCAAUCUCCCAAAGAUACACACUCUCACAAAGAUAGUUGAAGAUAGUUUAUGAACAUUGAAUUUGUUUCUUUCUUACUCUAAUCCUUUUAUUAACAUUGAAUUAAAUUACUUUAGGUUUGCUACUUUAAUACCCAUGGUUGUUAAUUCAUAAACCCUGCAACAUUUUUUAAUCAUUCAUAGCUAAGGUUGUUAAUUCAUUAAUUUUUUAAGGAAUCAUCCAUAAGAGUAUACAUACUAGGAUGAACAUUUAAUUUGCCAAAUAUAUUUUCCAUUAAUUGCUUUGUAACAUUAAUUGCUGAUUUGAUACUGAAGUUUUCAUCUAGAACCAUUUAUAAACAGAAAUGUACCUGGGGCUGGGCACUCUCAAUUAUGCUGUUAGCAUGUUACCAUCAACCCCCCACACUGUCAAUGGCAAUUUGAUGACAAAUCCAUAGCAGUUUCAGUUCAGGUCUAUUAGACCACAAAUACUCUAAGAAGAUCUUCAGUUAUAUUUAGUCCAGUCUAGUAGUCCAUGCUGAACUUUUCGUCUAUCAUUUUCUUAUAUUAAGCAAAAGAAGGAACUACAAUACUUCAACCAAUGGUUAAUAUUGUAAGGGAUAUCGAACCAACAGAGUUUGAAGAUGUAGUGGAAAAUGAAAAGAAAAAUUAAAUUUCUUAAUAGAUGACAAGGAAUGUAUGGAAUAGAUCGAUUAAUAUGUGUUGCUUCUAAUCAUAGGAUUUCAUAUUAAUAGUACAAGUCUUUAGUUAAAGUCAAAAUUAGAUAUAUUUAUUUUUUUCAAUAAUAUUCAGAUAUUUUGAGCCUACAUUGAUUUUUUUUUUUCCAGAUAUUUAUACUCCGAUUAACUAUUACUCACUUCAACCUAGCAUAUGUCCUAAACAUGUACAAACUCAGACUAUACUCAUCAUUAUUAAUAAUCAUUGUAAAUAGUUAUUUGAUGUCGUAUUAAAAACAGAAACAAAAAUGCAGUGUUGAAUGUUAGUUGAUUCCAUUAAAUGAACACAUCCUGAAAAUAUUCAUCAGCCAUAUAUAUGUUUUUACACGAAAACUGAUGGAACUAUAAUCACUAUUGAGAAGAGUCUUACAAGUUAAUAAUGUAGUUGAUCUCAAGGAACUCUAAAGCACCAAUUUAGCAUUUGUAGUAGAUGUCGAUGAUCAUAAAUAUGCAUCUAGUUACAAGAAGUUGAAGCAAAAAAAAAAAAUGGAGGGAAGAGAAGAAUAAAAGUUUCAAAGUAGUACUUUAGGUUUAUCAUUAUUCAGUUUUAAAUUUCUAGGAUUUCUUUUAAAGGUUUUUGGAUUUUAGUCACAAGACUGCAACAAUUUUUAAUUAUUUAGUCAAGUUCUAUUUGCGGAUUAAUUAUUGAUUAAUUUUUCUUAAGAUUUAUAAUUUAUGAUUCUAAAACCACUGACGCUUCGUUCACAAAAGUGUUAUCAGUUACAAAAUCAUCCUUCAAUCCUAAUGCCUCUUUCAGAAUUAAUAGUAUAUAAAUUUGUUGUUAAAUAAACUCUCUGUAGUGUUUGUAUUAAUGUUUUGUACAUAAGUUUUUGGCUAUGUCCACAAGUCAGUCAAGUAAACUUUUAAUUGCAAACCUACCUUUAUGGGUGGCCUUCCAUAGCCAUGACUCUUCCUCAUCUGACAGUUUUACCUGUUCAAAAUACUCUGUCAUUCCACCGCAUUAGCCUCUUCCCAUGACCGCAAAGUUCUUAGAAAUUGUAAAUUCAAUGUCAUUAACCCAUGGUUCACAAAAGGUUUCGGUAUCAUUCAAAAACCUUUUAAAAUUUAAUGGACUUUGAUGUUUUUAGUUCAUGAGAAGCACUUCUCCAAAUCAUACAGUUAAAACCUUCAAUGCACCAUCAGGUCCUUCAAAACUACUAACCAAACAAACACAUAAGGUACCUUUGAUCUUCAAAUGGAGUGUUGAAUAAUCCUGGCAGUCCUCACAUUCCUUGAAUUCGAAGCAUGUGCGCUGAUUCAUAUUCCAACAUAUAAAGUACCUUUGAUCCGUAUCAACAGAUUCACCUAUUUACCUUAACAUUCUUAAACAUUACAUCAUUUAUGUGAAUCCAUAAAUAAACACAUAAGUUUAUUGUUUGGAACUUCAAGCUCAAACAUGUUUUAACCAACUAACCUGGGCAUGUCCGCAGAAGUGUUCAAUGCCACUCCCCUGGUUCACAGAAGUGUGAUCAGCUAUAGAGAGCUCCUUUAAUGCUCAGAGAAAAUCAGUAUGCCUACGUUGUUUGUGUUCAUGAAGAACAUCACAACAAUAUUACACAACCAACCAUGAACUCUCCAGAUGCCGGCAACAAUAAAUGUACUCUACAAUGCCAUUUUGGUAUUUCACCGGUCUAUGGUUUACUAAUUAACUUUGCUAUCAAGCUUCUAACGGAGGAAAGCUAGGUAAAGUACAUAGUAUACCCAUUACUACUGUCAACAAACAAAGAGAACCUAAGAAAGUGAAUCCUCAAGAUCCGCUACAUAAUCUUUAAAGAUACGCCCCCUGACCUCCUCCACCCCACCUCCUAUAACAUCAACAGGAAUGUCUCCAUUUAAGUCUUUUCUAUGGAAGUAAGAGCUGUCAUCCCAACUGAGCUGACAUUUGGUACGACCAAAUCAUAUGGUCAACACGAGGCUAACAAUUAAGCUUGUCGUUGGGAUAGAUCUGGCUGAAGAANNNNNNNNNNNNNNNNNNNNNNNNNNNNNNNNNNNNNNNNNNNNNNNNNNNNNNNNNNNNNNNNNNNNNNNNNNNNNNNNNNNNNNNNNNNNNNNNNNNNAAAUUCCUAAAAAGAGGCACCUUUACCCCCCCCCCCCCCCCCCCCCGCGUUUGAAAUGUAAAAUUAGGACACCACCCUAUUUCGAAUAAGUUUUGUGAAACCCCCUCAAUUUUCGUUUCCGGCCAAAAUAUGAUUUGAACUACCAAAAUUGCCCUCAUACCAGGUUAGACUUUUUUUUAUGGUAGUUAGGAGUAAAACCACUUUCACACAUCAACCCAAAAGUGGUUUUCACCAUGAUAUUCGAUUUCUCGAUCGACGGCUCAAAUUAGAUCUAAAGAUAAACUAAGUAAUCUAAUCGUUGUUCAUUCGACACAUGGAUUUGACCAUUGAAGUAUACCUUCUUCUCUUUUGUUCUUCUUCUAUUCAUCACCAUUAAAGGAAUGAAAAACAACAAUCAAAUCUACGAAUAGAGAACUUCUUUAGCUAAAGAACUUACUAAUUAUUGAAGAAUUUCAUCCUCACCUCCCUCAUCAUUUCUUUUGCACUACAAAUUUCUAGUUUAUCUUCCAUAAAAAAUUCUAGUUUAAUUUCUCUCAACUCAAUUCUCUUAGUUUUUGGGUAAAAUGAAAGUAAAAUCUUCUAAUAUAUCACAUUAUAAGCUUGAAUCUCAUUUUAAUAAGAUAAAUGUGCAUUGUCUUUCUCGAAUUUGUAUUAUUGUAAAAAUUUGUAUGUAACACUAAACUAAUAACCAAAUGUGGGGGUAUCACAAUACUUUUCAAAAGUGGAUUUACUUCAAAAGCACCAUCGAAAAAAUCUGACAUGGCAAUAGGGCAUUCUGGGUAGUUCAUGUCAUCUUUUUACCGAAAAUGAAAAAUGGGGGGGAGGGGGGGAAUCACCAAACUUUUUUGAAAUGGGGGAGGGGGGGUCCUAACUAUGCAUUUCAAACGGGGGUGAGGGGGGAUCGCUAAUUAUCUCUACUUAUUAUGGUUGUUCAAAAACUGAGAUACAAUGUUAUGUAAGAUGGCAAUACAACGAAGUUGAGAAAGGAACUCUUAAGUUUAUCCUUUCAAUGUGUUUGCUUACGAUCCUUUCUUCAUCUAUAUAGAUCAGACUUUGGAGUUUGGAUCCUUCUAGGUACCAGGUCAGGGAGUACCAUUUAUUACUUCUUUACAAAUACUACAACCUACCAUGUCAAUAGAUCAAAAACUAAAAUUACAAUUUUAAAAGUACUUUAUGUUAAAAUCAGAGUGCUUGGAAAGUGUUGUCGAUAUGUUAUCCUUUCUCAAGAGUUUUGUCAAACAUUGUUGUUGAAAACCUUAUAUCCUUGACAUACGGGGUAUAAUUGAUAUUAUAUUACUCUAAAACCCCUUCGAUUACUAUUCAGUUAUUGUAGAACUUCUUUUACUACUGUUAUUCUAUUUAAUUUGAAGUGGUUUGAUUUCUUUUAGAUGUCAAUUUAUUAAUAAAUUUGCGUCAUUUUAUAAUUACGAGAAAACUAAUAGUUUACUCUUAUUAGACACAAACCGUAGAAAUCAACAAAUUCUGGAAGAUAUCAAUAAUGGAUGGUAUCUAGCUGCUUUUGACAUACUUACUCAGCAUAAUAUAGAUAUAUAUUGUAUCUAGACGAGUUUUUGGAUACAAUUAGUGAGGAAAAUGUAACAAAAGUAAUACAGUCAACAUUUGAAGAUAUAGAUGACAAUUUGUUUGAGCUAUAUGGUUGAGCUAAAUAUUUUAUUGGACUUAAGAUCAUAUGGUUUCUUCUUAUAUGUCACUUUUAUUACUUGGUAGCUUACAACUUUGCACCAAUAGGUUAGGAUCACAACGACUUCGAUUUGUUAAAAAUGAACAAUCCUCCUCCGUCUGUAAUUUGAGGAGCUGAUGAUUCUGUUAAAGUUUCUCUGGUUGAAGAGGCUCCUGUUCGUAAGUCCAUAACUCUCCCUCUCCAACACUCCAAAAUAUUUUUCUUCCUUCUUCUUGUUCAACACUCUCAUUCUUCUUUCAAUAAUCUCAUUCCUUUAUGUUCCGCACCACACCACCCAGAGAACAGCAAUUGCUUGUAUAAGUUUAAAAAAUUCAAGAUGUUUUCUAUUUUUUCUGAAAAGGACACAGACUAGUUGUUUGAUGAAAUGCUUCAAAGUAUUAAAAAAAUAAAAUAAUAAACAAUUAUUCAGGGUUUUCAAUGCCUUUGUUCCUCAGUUGUUGUUACCUUCAAACUAUGUGCUUGCUCAAUCAAUACUAAACUACUAAAACGAAAAGAAGAAUAUGCGGUGCAUUCAACUAACUAGGCAUCCAGGACCAUCACGACCACUGCGUAAGGUAUGACAAGGUAUUUUUUAGGUUUAGCUAUUGACUUGUACGAGCUCCAAUACAGGUCCCAUAUAUGUUUGUGUAAGUCCUUGCUCAGGCACAGGUAUAGGUAGGUUUUGUAAACAUGACACCACCACCAGUUCACCACACACUCAAUUGGCAUUUUGACAGUGUGAACAAUUCAUAUAAAGAUGGCUGACAAACUACGAAUAAUUCAUAUAAAGAUGGGGACACAGACACACAGUGUUCUGACUUGAAGUAGCCAUUACUUUUCCUUUUUUUUUUUCUUUUAUUAAAGUGAAAGUGAAAGCUAUAUCAGCAUGAUCAUUGAACAACAACACAAUACAAUAGAGAAAGACUUGCAUUUAGAAACCAUUGUUUCUUGUUUGUGUUUUACUGUUUCCAUUGUGUCAUUCAUUUGUUCAAUACAAUGGCUGAAGUGUUGGUUUCUGUUGUCUUGAAGAAAAUGGGAUCCAUCAUCUUAGAUGGUCUCGAACAAGAAGUAGGACUGGUAACUGGUGUUAAAAAAGAAAUCAAAAUCCUCACCAAUACACUCAUUAUCAUCAAAGGUAUGCUUGAGGAUGCUGAGGCCAAGCAAGUGAAGAAUGAAGCAGUAAAGAUUUGGUUGGAAGAAUUCAAAGAUAUCUCGUAUGAUGCAGAUGACAUAUUGGAUGAAUGGUGCACUAGAUCUCUCGUUCCAGACACGCAACAGCCUAAUCCAAAUGCUUCAAUUAUAAGGCAGGUACGAUCCUAUUUGUUCAACCUUUUCUCUUGUUUUAAACCCAUUGUCAUCAGUCAUGGUAUUGGUAUGAACAUAAAGGAGUUGAACGAACGACUUCUUGAUAUUAUUGAAAAGAAACAGUCGUUUAAUCUCAAUAAAAUUCAAAGUAAUGGCAUCCGUCAAAUACGAAGUAUAGCUGUGCCUGAAGUUCCCCAGAUUUAUGGCCGGGUUGAGGAUAAAGCGCCAUUUUCCAAUAUAUAUGUGGGGUGAUUUAGGUUUUGGUCACCACUUUUUAGUAUAAAUUAGGUUUUGGAGCCGGUUUUUAUCUUUAUUAGGGUUUAGAUCAUUUUCGAACCAACAACUAGAAAAACCCGGUUGAACCGAAAAUAUUUUCAAAAUACCUAAGUUUACCCCUGAAACUCACGUGAUCUGCACGUGAUCACUAACCCUAAUAUAGUUUUGAUCAGGGGUAUUUUGGCCAUUAUAAACAAUUACUUGGGUCAAUUGUCGGUUCAGCUCUAAACCCUAAUAAAGAUAAAAACCGGCUCCAAAACCUAAUUUAUACUAAAAAGUGGUGACCAAAACCUAAAUCACCCUAUAUAUGUGCUUCCAAUAUAUAUAUAUAUGUAUUUGGUUGCCAUUUAUGACCCUUCUUUUCUGUAGGCACUUCUAUUUUGUGGUCUACCGUCUACGUCUACCCAAUGUUUCAUCGGCAUUUUUAUAGUAUAAUUUAAGAAUUCUAUAAAGUCACGCAAUUACGCACAAUCUAGAGAUCCAGGGUAUACCAAAGAAAAUCUCUAGUGCACUUCUGAAUUGUUUUUUCUUAGGAAUGAAAGUAGCUUUUUCAUAUUAGCUCUUUGACUCUUUCAUCGUCUCCCUUUGACAUUCCAACAUUUGUUACAGGACUGUUCUGAUUAUAAAGGAACCAAUAAGGAAGACAAGAACCUUGACUGACGGUUUGGGGUUGAUGUUAUUGUGGCAGUUCCUGAUCAAGAAAGGGUGCAUUUUCAGAUUAUCUGGGGUUGACUACCAAAGGGAGCUAAUACUUGAAGCUCACCAAGUUGGCGUCAAGAUUGUUCACCAAGUGAGUUAAAUCAUUACACUGAAGCACUUCUUAUAUGCUGGAAAUCGAACAUGAUCUAGAGAGAACCAACUACUCGUCACCUUGCAGGCUUGCACCUCACCAUCUCAGUUGAUGGAGGUAUAAUGGAAACUGAGAAGGAGAAAUUUAGUAUAUAUUUUAUCCUUGAACAACUGUGAACUUAUGAUUGUCCUAUUUUGGCUUAGCGAUUCAGAGAAGGAGAAAUCUCAAGCUCUAGUUUACACUUUACAACAUCCAAAUUACAACUGAACAAAUAGGCAUGUUAUUUACAAAACUCUUCCGUUUCUCUUCGAACAAAGUAGUUUCUGAAUCAUAACCGAUAUCUUAAACAGUAAAAUGGCAAAAACCCAAUACAAAGUGUCCGUUUGGAACCGUGGAGGCGUGGAACUUCUAAGAGGGUUUUGAUUUGCUUCAGAGGUAUCUACUCAGCUGUUUCUACUUUUUUGCUGUUUUCCCUCUGAAAUUCUAUUUAUAGUUUUUGUUGGACAGUAUUUUUGAUAGUUAAUUUAGAUUUAACAAAUUUGCUAUAAAUUCACGCAAUUGCUCAGAAUUUUUGUAGGUGAAACUGCAAAAAGUAUCAUUUGGUAUUGUUCGUCACGAGGUUGCACCAAGUGGUAUGACAUUCUUGGCUUUGUAUGCAAAUAAAUACUAUUUAAUGAGUAAUUAUUAAACCAACAAACAAAAUAAGGACACAGAAACUAAAAGUAUGGAGAUGUUGAGAUACAGAGCCAUGUUCUCCACUUGACUACUGGUCUCUUGUGUUUAUUGGCUCAUGUUCUCUUAUUUUUAUUAGUCCAGUGAAGGCCUGAUGGCAGUCUCUAUGUUUUUGUUAACUUAGCAUUGUUUACAGGCUGCAGUGCUUUGAUGCUUUAACUCAAAAAGGGUUGUCGAGGUAGAGCACUGACAUGCUUGAAGCAACAAUUUUCUCAUAAGUCACCCAACUGUGAUAAUUAGGAAACGUCGUGUUGAUAAGCUUGUUAAUGAAAUGACUCUUAAACCAUUCAAGGAUUGAAAUGUUGAGUAUGUCAAACAUCUGUUGGAUACUUGUUGGACAAGCACUGCCUUUGUAUUAUUGUGCAGUUCAUAUCAUAAUUUUUUUACUCUUAGGACAGCUCAUGCUUAUUGUGUUAGAGUUGGACUUUCAACAGGGUACAACAAAACUCACAAAAGUUGGAUAUUAUAUGCAUAGAUCAACUGCAAGCUAUGAUGUGUACUUACAUAAUCCUCCGGGUACGUUUCUUGCAGACUUCUUGAUGUGUAUCUAGACUUGCUCACUUCUCAUGUAAAAAUGACUGUAGUACGUUUGUUGGAUUCCUUUUACAAUGGCUGUAUACAACAAGGUGAAAACCAGGAAAUUUGGAGUCUCAACAUCCCUUUUACAGUGGCUGUAUACAACAAGAUGAAAACCAGGAAAUUUGGAGUCUCAACAUCUUCAAAGAUUGGCUUUCAAAAGAGGUAUGCAACUGUAAAGUGGUAAUGUACAUAGCAUAUACUUUGGGGGUAGAUUGAUUUUGUCACUUUUACUGGUUGAAAAGAAGAAGAAAGUUGGUACUAAUAUUAGUGUGUUAAUUUCUCUUUAUGACAGUUAGUUAUAAUAGAUGGAGCUAUGACUAACUCGGCUACAUGGCUACGUGGGAGUUUCAGAGGAUUCUGUAAUCAAUUUUAUACAGCAGAUGCAGUGAAUAUGAUAUGUUCAAUUCAGUGAUGACUGUACAAGAGAGCUUGGACGAAGUACCUGAAAAGGUUGAAGAACAAGGACUUGUUGCUAGCAU
rnacentral:lncRNA from 1 species